UGGGGAAUAUUGGACAAUGGGCGAAAGCCUGAUCCAGCCAUGCCGCGUGUGUGAAGAAGGCCUUAUGGUUGUAAAGCACUUUAAGCGAGGAGGAGGGUACUGGUAUUAAUACUACCAGCUACUGGACGUUACUCGCAGAAUAAGCACCGGCUAACUCUGUGCCAGCAGCCGCGGUAAUACAGAGGGUGCGAGCGUUAAUCGGAUUUACUGGGCGUAAAGCGUGCGUAGGCGGCUAAUUGAGUCGGAUGUGAAAUCCCCGAGCUUAACUUGGGAAUUGCAUCCAAAACUGGCGAGCUAGAGUAGGGCAGAGGGUGGUGGAAUUUCCUGUGUAGCGGUGAAAUGCGUAGAUAUAGGAAGGAACACCAGUGGCGAAGGCGACCACCUGGGCUCAUACUGACACUGAGGUGCGAAAGCGUGGGGAGCAAACAGG
rnacentral:rRNA from 1 species